ACACAUGCAGUCGAGCGGCAGCGGGAAGAAUAGCUUGCUAUCUUUGCCGGCGAGCGGCGGACGGGUGAGUAAUGCCUAGGGAUCUGCCCAGUCGAGGGGGAUAACAGUUGGAAACGACUGCUAAUACCGCAUACGCCCUACGGGGGAAAGGAGGGGACCUUCGGGCCUUCCGCGAUUGGAUGAACCUAGGUGGGAUUAGCUAGUUGGUGAGGUAAUGGCUCACCAAGGCGACGAUCCCUAGCUGUUCUGAGAGGAUGAUCAGCCACACUGGGACUGAGACACGGCCCAGACUCCUACGGGAGGCAGCAGUGGGGAAUAUUGCACAAUGGGCGAAAGCCUGAUGCAGCCAUGCCGCGUGUGUGAAGAAGGCCUUCGGGUUGUAAAGCACUUUCAGUAGGGAGGAAAGG
rnacentral:rRNA from 1 species